rnacentral:rRNA from 1 species
AGUGAACGCUGGCGGCAUGCCUAACACAUGCAAGUCGAACGGAAAGACAGUAAGCGCUCUCUUCUACCGUUGGCGGCUGGCGGGCGGGUGACAAGUACAUCACAAUCUUCUAUUACGUGGGUAACAUCGGAGGGAAACUUACGCUACUACAUCAUAUGAUCUACGGGUUAAAGCAGUGGUUAUUCGGACUUUUCGCGACUCAAUUAGCCGACGUCGGAUUAGCUAGUUGGCGAGGUAAAGGCCUACCAAGGCAACGAUCCGUAGCUGGCCUGAGAGGAUGAUCGGCCACACUGGAACUGAGACACGGUCCAGACUCCUACGGGAGGCAGCAGUAGGGAAUAUUGCGCAAUGGGCGCAAGCCUGACGGAGCAACGCCGCGUGAGUGAUGAAGGUCUUCGGAUCGUAAAGCCCUGUUAUUAGGAAAGAACAACAGCGGGAGUAUCCAUGGCUGUCUUGACGGUACCUAAAGAGUAAGCAACGGCUAACUACGUG